AUACAUGAGCAAAAUCUCAACUUUAUUAGAAGAGACGCAUUUAUUAGAUAAAAAGCCAAUGCAUGCUUUUACAGUAUGGAAAUUGGUGAUUUAUAAUAACUUGGCAAAUCGCAAAGUGAAAACAGGCGAUAAAUCAUUCAAGUUUCUGACCUAUCAGCUUUCGACGGUAUGGUAUUGGCUUACCGUGGCAGUGACGGUUAACGGGGGAUUAGGGUUCGAUUCCGGAGAGGGAGCCUGAGAAACGGCUACCACAUCUAAGGAAGGCAGCAGGCGCGCAAAUUACCCAAUUCUAACAGUUUGAGAGAGGUAGUAACAAGAAAUAACAAUACAAGGCAAUUAAAAUGCUUUGUAAUUGGAAUGAUAGAAAUUUAAACCCUUUUUAAAGUAUCAAUUGGAGGGCAAGUCUGGUGCCAGCAGCCGCGGUAAUUCCAGCUCCAAUAGCGUAUAUUAAAAUUGUUGCAGUUAAAAAGCUCGUAGUUGAAGUUCUGCUAAAAGUAACCGGUCUGCUUUUAAUAAAAGUGGUAUCUUGGUGUGUAUUUAGCAAUGAUGUCCUUUGAAGUGUUUUUUACUUUAUUGUAAUAAAGCAUAUUCAGGACUUUUACUUUGAGAAAAUUAGAGUGUUUCUAGCAGGCCGACGCUUUGAAUACUGCAGCAUGGAAU
rnacentral:rRNA from 1 species